GAUUGAUGGAGAGAUGCCACGAGAGGGACAAGGCCCAGGGUUUGAGCAGAGGAAGAGUGUGAGAAGGAUCACUCGGUCGUCUUGUGGAGCCUGUCUCACCUCAAGCAUUUAUGCGGUCAACAUGUCGUCAGAACUCGAUCACAUGUUUGUCAGGUUUGCAUGUCUGUGGGCACCAAGUUUACCAUGUGCUGGGUGCUGGGGAACCACAGUGUCCAGCCCACGGGGAAUCUGCAUUCCAGCCCAAGAUGGGACAGAGACUCGCCCGCAAGGAGGAGACAGAGACACGGCCCCAUCAUGAGCCACUGAUGCAAACCCGCGGCCUGGAGCCGCACAUGGACAUGCGUGGGGGCCUGCAGGUCACAGGAGGGGCCCGCAGUGCUCAGCCAGACUGGCGCUGACAAACAGCAGCUCACGGCGCGCUGGAAGACGCCAGGGUUUCAGGCUGGCUCCCGGGAGGUGCUGGUGGCCAGCAGGCUCUGUGCUGAGAAGUGCUGGGAGGCUCGGAGGAAAGCGUGCUGUCGUGGAUCUGUGACGCGGCCUCUGGCACGGCGGCGGAGAGGGAAGAGGCAGGAUUCGCCCCCUCUGGAGUGGCCUCUGGGUUCUCUGAGCUCUGACAGAGCUGCUUCCUCUUGCCUUCCCCUUGAGGCCAGCAUGCGUCAGUCUGUGUCUGCGAUGCCAGUGUCCGGGAGUGGAUGGGGAGGCUCUCUGGCUCCCCCUCACUGCACACAUAUGGGGCAGGGACUGGUGCCUGUGGAGGGGGCCUGGGGCCUGGCAGCACCUUAUUUCAGCCUGCCUCCCUGCUCUGCCCAGGUGGGGUACCUGUAGAAAGAGAACGCUGGCCUGUACCUGCCUGGACACCUUGCCCGGCCUGUGGCAGGUGAUCAGUGGUGCUGGGUGGCAGGAAGCCAAGGCAAUUGCUGGGCUCCUGGUGAGUUUCAGGCCAGGCCGUUUUCAGAGAACCUCUGUCUUUGCUGGUUUUGUCAUGGGUGGGGCCCCUCUCUGUGGGGCUGCGGUAGGUACAACAUCCACGAGGAGGGGACAGGCAUAAGCUCCGGGUGUCACAUCAUCUUUGACUUUGGAGCCAUAGAGCGUCUGGUCUGGGAGCCCCUGGAGGUCAUCUUGUCUUCCUUGCUGGGGUGUCCCUGGGCAGACACACAGACAGGGUCCAAAAGGGGUGGGGUCCAUCACGCUGGGGCUCCUGCCCUGGCCUGAGCAUGCCUGGCCAUCCAGGCCCCUGCCCCUUGGUGCUGCAGGGCCUGGGAGAGGCUCCUGGGCACCGUGGUGACCUUGACGCCCGACUUGCCCCUCGAGUUCCUCCUGCCGGUAGCCUGGCAGCUGCCAGUGCCGCACGGUUUGUGAAAUGUCAGUGCUUUAAUAUCAAUUCUGGAGGUUUUAUUGCCUUCCCCCCCAUUUUCCGAUGGGAUUUUGAUCCAAUCAAGACCGAUCCACAGCGACGGCAGAUUUGUGUUCCCGUCCGAAGUUGACAAAGGUCACCCUGCCUGGGGAGCGGGGCCGCUGUGGCUGCGCAGUGCGUGACUGCUCUCCCGCCCUGGCUCCAGGUCGGCUGCGCUUUCCCCCAGGAGAGCGGUGUCCGUGGGUGCGGCCGGCGCUGCUCCUCCUGGGCCUGUCACUGGGCCAAGGGCCCUGGGGCUUUAGGCUCGGGCAGUCGCCAGCCACAGAAUACCCUGGUUUUGUCUGCAAAACGUCUUUGAUGCUUCAGACUCAAAUUAAUUUUUCAUAGUAAUGUUUCAAAAUGUCAUUUUUCCCUUUAAAAAAAAAGCCGUUGAAUGAGACUCUCUGUUUGGGAGGAGGCCAGAGGUCAGGAGAGUCACAUUGGGCCACGCCAGCCUGUGCCCUAUCCUCCUGUCUCUGGCUCAGCUCCCUGCCUUCCCCAGAGGGUGGAACACCCUCUAGGAGGAACUCGAAAGGGGCAGGAACACCUGCUUGUCCAGGUGGGGGCUGGCAAGGGUGGAGAGUGGGUGCAAGAAUUUUGGUCAAGUUUUGAUCUUGCCCCAUGGCACUUUACAGACAUGAUAUUCCGAGACCCAACCCAGCUUGGCAAGCCUUUAGAGAGUGCCUGCGGUGUGUGUGGCACCCGAGAGGGUGGAGGGGAGAGGCAAGCCUAGACAGAGAGGACAGGUACUGGUGGGCCGGGUGUGUGGA
ensembl:lncRNA